UAACCAGCAGCCUUACUCCCAGCGAUUAAUAGUCGCUAUCCAAAAAAGCCAAUUAAAACUCAGUUGAAAAAUUUAGGCCGAUUAAGUUGGUACCACCACCUCGGUUUUGACUGAGCCGCGGACCAGGGACAACGUAGAAAAUAUAUCAAGAAACGACUAGUGAUUAUUUUUGAAACGGUAGCCGAAGUAAGCCGAUAUCAGGCCGAUGUUGCGUUCCGUAUUUCAAUAGAGGUGAAAGAAAGAGAUGUCGCUCUAUAAAAUUGUAUAAGAUCUUGUGUUUUUUCUCGCUCUGACAAGGAAAAAAUUGGUGUGCGUUCGAAGUACUAGCGAAGCUUGAAAUAAGAAAUCCGGUAAUCAUCAGUCCAUAUUAUGUUUUUAUUUUUUCAAUGUUAGUAAAAUAUUAAUUAAAAUACUUAUUAAACACUAGGUUAAAGUCAUCACUCAUGCCAUUUUUUACUUAUUAUUCACAAAAACUUAACUUUGUAAACGUUAAAAUAUGAAAUUAGGGGCUUUUGAACGCAUUCAAACUAAAAAUGAAAAUACUCUGUGAACCUGUGAAAACACUCCCUCCACUUCAUUCAUACAACAUACAAUAACAAUGAUAAAACAAAAUUACAAAUGGAAUUUCCUUAUUUAAAUAGAUAUUUGUGCACUAAAUACAUAAUAAUAUGACAAAGAAGAAGAAGACGUUGCGUGUCACCGUAUAGCCAAGGAAAUAUCUUGUGAAAGUUUUAACUCAAGGCGGAAAUUUAUUGAAAAAAUACUCAACAUAACCUACAAUUACAGUGAAAUACUGAAAAUAUCUUGUACCGUGAUAAUAUUUCUGAAUAAUAAGUGCAAACCCAUACUCUAAGAUCGUGCUUUCAACCACAUACUUAAUACAAUUCCAUAAUCAUAUCGAAAUCCAAAAGUUCGUAAGUCGUAAGUGAUCAUAGUUUAGGUGUGUACUUAUUAGACUCAUGCAUUGUAAACUCUAUAAACGAUUACUCGUAAUGUAUUAAUCAUAUUAAAAGUUGAA